GCAAGCCCCCAGGAUUGGGCUCAAUUAUUAUGAAGCGUACCUCGCAGUGUACUGUUGACUGAAUGAGGUUUUCAAAAUUCAAAUGUGGCAAAGCCUGAGCCUAGGCAUAUAGUUUGCUCCAUAAUUUCUCUUUUAAAUGUUUAUUAUGAUGUAUUCAGGUGGAAGGGAGCGUCGAGCGGGGAUGAGAUCUCGAGAUGUAGACGGCAAUGCCACACCCACGAAGACACCAAUAAUGAUGCUAUCAUUGAUAAAUGAUCCUAUUACUGAAUUGUAUGAUCUUGAAACUGGCCCUCAACUUCUCGUAGAGACUAAAAAUGAAUAAUGAAUACAGUUGCGUGUGUACUUCAAGUGGUCUCCUGAUGGUAGUGGUACUUGUAUAUUGACUUACAAUAAUGACAAUAUACUGAGAUUGUAUAAUCUUCCAAAUGAGCUCUACAGCUCUUCAUUCCCUGAUCACAUUCAACCAGAAACAGUGAAUUUAGACACACAAAAACAUGCAUAUGUACAUGUAUUUCUAACAUAUUGCUUUGCUGUCUUUUGUAAGAUCCUGUUGUUUAUGCUAGAGAAGAUGAAAUUAUAUACGAUUAUGCCUGGUUCCCUAGAAUGUCAUCCUAUGAUUAUGCCAUUUGCUGGUCAGUGUGUGAUCAUUAUACAUGUGUAAAUUCAAAUGUAAUUAUGUGUAGAUGAUGUAAGAAUUAAAAUAAUGUUAAUUGAUACAGUUGCAUGUACCUUUAGCAUAAAAAAUUUAAAAUUGUAUAGGCCUAUAUUAAAUUAAUGUUCAUUUCUUGCUAGUGCAAAUUUUCCAUUAUACCAUAGCAACAAACACGUACACAAAAAAUGAAUGUGAGGAAAAUGAGGAAUAUUAUCUGUGCUAUCCUAAAUGCAAGGAAAACUACAUGGGAGUUGCCAUAGUUUGCUGGGGAUAUUGCAGCUAUUUCUGUGGACCAGAGUAUGAUGACAUGGGCCUAUACUGCUAUCAGUGGUGGCCACCAAAGAGCUGUUACAAGCCAAGGUAUGAUAGAGGUGCCGGUACCCUACCUUACAAACCCUGGACCAAUGGAUUGGGAUGCAAUGAGUUUGGUGUGAAUAAUCAAGGAGGAUGUGCAAGGAUUGACGUCUCUGGUAAAGUGCCCCAUUGAUGUUGGAUGCAACAAGCCAAUAUAGGAAUUUUUGUUGCCUAUUUUUGAUGGUUCUUGUUGUCAUACAUGUAAUAAACUUUUACAUUACAUUUCCAUCUAUGCCACAUAAUCUAUGCCUUGCAAGUUGAUAACAAAGAAAAGUACAGUGGGGCAUUGUGUUAGGUCAGUAGCCUAUUGUGUUGCACUAGAAGUUGUAAACAAUAGUAUGCACCCAGGGCAAACAUACGUCAUGAGAGCCAUAAUGCCAAUAUUUUGGGUAGCUUACUAUUAUGUACUACUAGGUGUACUUAGUUGUAAAUAAUACCAGGCUCACGUGUCAAACAUUAAAGCAUUUUUUACACGUGCUUGCAACAAUUUAAAUGUUUAUUAUGAUGUAUUCAGGUGGAAGGGAGUGGGGAUGAGACAUAGACAGGGAGCAAUGCCACACCCACUGAAGAUACCAAUAAUGAUGCUAUCAUUGAAACCAAUGGCCUAAUCACUAAUAAUGAUCCUAUUACUGAAUUGUAUGAUCUUGAAACUGACCCUCGACUUCUCAUAGAGACUAAAAAUGAAUAACGAAGACAGUUGCUCGUGUACUUCAGAGGAUGCAAGUGGUCUCCUGAUGGUAGUGGUACUUGUAUAUUGACUUACAAUAAUGACAAUAUACUGGGAUUGUAUAAUCUUCCAAAUGAGCUCUAUAGCUCUUCAUUCCCUAAUCACAUUCAACCAGAAAUGGUGAAUUCAGACACACAAGAAUGCAUGCAUAUGUACAUGAUGUAUUCCUAACAUAUUGCUUUGCUGUCUUUUGUAGGAUCCUGUUGUUUAUGCUAGAGAAGGUGAAAUUAUAUAUGAUUAUGCCUGGUUCCCUAGAAUGUCAUCCUAUGAUUAUGCCACUUGCUGGUCAGUGUGUGAUCAUUUUACACGUGUAAAUUCAAAUAUAAUUAUGUGUAGAUGAUGUAAGAAUUAAAAUAAAUGUUAAUUGAUACAGUUGCAUGUACCUUUACCAUAAAAAUUUUAAAAUUGCAUAUUUUAAAUGUUCACUUCUUGCUAGGGCAAAUUUUCCAUUAUGCACUGCAACAAACAUGUACACAAAGGAUAAAUGUGAUGAAAAUGAGGGAUAUUAUCUGAAAAACUACAUGGAAGUUGCCACAGUUUCCUAGGAAUAUUGCAGCUAUUUCUGUGGACCAGAGCAUGAUGAUGACAUGGGCCUAUACUGCUACAAAUGGUGGCCACCAAAG
rnacentral:lncRNA from 1 species